rnacentral:rRNA from 1 species
UACUUUAGCAUGGGAUAAUAGAAUAGGACGAAAGUCUUAUUCUGUUGGUUUCUAGGGCUUUUGUAAUGAUUAAAAGGGACAGUUGGGGGCAUUUGUAUUCAGUUGUCAGAGGUGAAAUUCUAGGAUUAACUGAAGACAAACUAAUGCGAAAGCAUUUGCCAAGGAUGUUUUCAUUAAUCAAGAACGAAAGUAGGGGGAUCGAAGAUGAUCAGAUACCGUCGUAGUCUCUACCAUAAACUAUGCCGACCAAGGAUUUGGAGAAGUUACGUGGAUGACUCCUCAAGCACUUUGUUGAGAAAUCAUUAAGUUGUUGGGUUCUGGGGGGAGUAUGGUCGCAAGGCUGAAACUUAAAGGAAUUGACGGAAGGACACCCCC